rnacentral:misc_RNA from 1 species
GAUGAAGAACGUAGCGAAAUGCGAUAAGUAGUGUGAAUUGCAGAAUUCAGUGAAUCAUCGAAUCUUUGAACGCACAUUGCGCCCGCCAGUAUUCUGGCGGGCAUGCCUGUUCGAGCGUCAUUUCAACCCUCAAGCCCCCGGGCUUGGUGUUGGGGAUCGGCGUGCCCUCGCGGCGCGCCGUCCCCUAAAUCUAGUGGCGGUCUCGCUGUAGCUUCCUCUGCGUAGUAGCAACACUCGCACUGGAUCGCAGCGCGGCCACGCCGUUAAACCCCCCACUUCUGAAAGUUUGACCUCGCAUCAGGUAGGAAUACCCGCUGAACUUAAGCAUAUCAAUAAGCGGAGGA